rnacentral:rRNA from 1 species
CACGUAGGGUGCGAGCGUUGUCCGGAAUUAUUGGGCGUAAAGAGCUCGUAGGCGGUGUGUCGCGUCGGCCGUGAAAACCUGCAGCUUAACUGUGGGCUUGCGGUCGAUACGGGCAUCACUGGAGUUCGGCAGGGGAGACUGGAAUUCCUGGUGUAGCGGUGAAAUGCGUAGAUAUCAGGAGGAACACCGGUGGCGAAGGCGGGUCUCUGGGCCGUAACUGACGCUGAGGAGCGAAAGCAUGGGGAGCGAACAGG